rnacentral:misc_RNA from 1 species
GCUCGGUGCGAUCCUCUGCGCAUUCCAGCGGCCGGUGAAGGCGAUGUAACCGUCAUUCCGGACGGCUCGCAAAGCGAGCCGAUCCGGAAUCCACAUAUAACGAAGAUGGAUUCCGGGCUCGCUCGCGGUGCUCGCCGCCCUCGCGACCCGGAAUGACACUGUUAGUUGCGAACGCUCAUCCAGCCGGGGUCUGCGCCGAA